ensembl:lncRNA
CAGGUCCUCUCCCCACACCCUCUUCCUGUCCCAGAGCUCUUAAGUCUAUUCCUCUCUCUUCUCCUGAAGGUGGAGAACAACAUGUCUUAUGCCUCUAUGUAAAAUGUUCUCAGACACAGAUCUCCACCUCUUCCCUGAUGUGCCCAGCAGCUCAGAGAAUCCAAACUGCACCUCCUCAGAAUGGCCGGAGUCCAGGAGAUGGGAGGUCCAAAAGGACUGAGUAGACAGGUCUAGGGAAUCACUGACAGACAAGACACUUGGAGACACUCAAUGAACAGACUUUGGGUACUUCUAUAUCAUGUCCACACAGGAAGACUCACUUAAAAAAUGUUAAGGGCCGGGGUUGGGGAUUUAGCUCAGUGGUAGAGCGCUUGCCUAGCAAGCACAAGGCCCUGGGUUCGGUCCCCAGCUCCAAAAAAAAAAAAAAAAAAAAAAAAAAAAGAAAAGAAAAAAAUGUUAAGGGCCAAGGGAGACGUAACAGAGACCAUACCUGUGUAGGGCAAGUGUAUCGUAGGAAGGAAGCCAUUGAAAUUGUUCAGGCUCAGAAGAAAGGACACCAGAAGUGGAAGGGGGUGUUCAAGACAAGUCUAGGGUGGGCUAGGCCAGCCUGGAUGUUGCCUUAAUGUAAGAGGGGUCUGCAGCUGGCUGCUCAGAUGGUAAUAUUGAGACAGGUGAGGCUCUGGGGAAGGAUGGUAGUAGAUUGGUUACCCAUGGUUACCCAGGAAACCAGCAUACACAGUUCACAUGCUAAAGGAGCCCCAGGUCCAAGCUGGGGCUACGGGGAGACAGGGCCAGCUCAGUGUGAAGAAAGGAAGCUGUAGCUGUAGGGCCCAGGUCCUGACAGAUAAAAACACGGACUGUCCUCGGACAAGAAGUAAAGCCAUAGAGAGGCCUCCAGGGAGGUCAAAGGAGAGGGAGGACCAAGAGCCAGGCAGCCAGACCUGGAUACCGAGCAUCUGGAAUCCGGGACAGUGAAGUCCACAGCCUCUGCAGUGGGUCUCCCUGAUGAAGGGAACCGAGGAGCAGGAGGGUUUUACACAAUAAUGCCAUGACCUCAGUUUUUUAAAAAAGUAUUUUACGGAAAAUGUGAGACAUUACCAUAAUGGAGAUCAAGACUGAAGAGAUAGCUCAGUGGUGGGCUUUCUAAAAAUUUCUACUGUGGCCGCGGACCAGAAACAACCCCCAAAUUCUACAGCAGAUAGAUGGAUUAAAGACAGGCAGUGCAGCUGACAACAGAAUGCAUCCCAACAGUGAAAGAGAAGAGAGCUCGUAUUGAACACAACUUGACUGGUUCUUGGCUGCGUUACUCAGGAGACGCCAAGCUCAGAUUCAUCUGCCCAACUCUUCUUACGUGGUGUCCUAGAAAAGAGAAGACAGUAGCGAUGAAGACUGGUCGUUGGUUUCCCGGCUUGGUGGCAAGGAAAAGCUUGACUAGCGUGCCAGAAACCUUUAGGUGACAAACUGUAGCUGCCUCCUUGUUUCAGUGCUGAUCACAUGAUCCCAUACACCAAAACAAAAUAAAACACAUUUUGAUUUGUGUAAAUUUAUUUUUAAAAAAACUAUUUUUAAUGAUUAUAAAAUAAUUGAAAUCCUUUCCAAUGCG